CCGCCCAGGCCCCUUUUAAACUUGAUCUCCGCGGUGCCCUCCCCUUUCGGCCGCGGCGCGUGACUGGGCUUGGUGGAGUUUCAAGAUGCUGAUGAACUUAAGGUCUGGUGCUUGAAAGAAUCAGUGAAGCUUUUCAAGUAGAGGAGGUAUAUUUGAAUAUGUAACCUUUAGUAUCUACAGAAUAGAGGUUGCUUUUUUUUUUUUUUUUUGUCCCUUUCAUAGUGGUAGCAAGGUUGAAUUUUGAGAUGGCCCCAAUCAUCUAUAGGAAUAUUAUUUGACAGUUUUGUAGACACAAAACUGCCUUAUAGCUGACUUGAUCCUGUAGAACAUUUCUGUGGAAUUCAAUUCUAUUAUUUAAGGUAGUUUUUCUAUGAACCAACUGUGGUCUGUAACUUGACAGUGUUAAUAAAACAAGUAGCAAUACCUUAAUCAUGCGUAAUCAUGGUUCACAUGCUCAACAAAGAUAUGACUUAACUCUAAGAUUGUUAUUUCACAGUAUAGUCUUUUUUUUUUUUUUUAAGACAGUGUCACUCUUGUUGCCCAGGCUGGAGUGCAGUGGUGGAAUCUUGGCUCACUGCACCCUCUGCUUCCCAGAUUCAAGCGAUUCUCCUGCCUCAGCCUCCUGAGUAGCUGGGAUUACAGACGUGUGCCACCACACCCAGCUAAUUUUGUAUUUUUACACAUUUUUGUUUGUUUGUUUGAGACGGAGUCUCACUGUCGCCCAGGCUGGAGUGCAGUGGCACGAUCUCGGCUCACUGCAACCUCUGCCUCCCGGGUUCAAGCGAUUCUCCACCUCAGCCUCCCGAGUAGCUGAGAUUACAAGCUAAUUUUUGUAUUUUUGUAGAGACAGGGUUUCACCAUGUUGGCCAGGCUGGUCUCGAACUCCUGAUCUCAAGUGAUCUGCCUGCCUCGGCCUUCCAAAGUGCUGGAAUUAUAGGGGUGAGCCACCAUGCCCGCCCAGUAUAUUCUUUUUUUUUUUUUGAGACAGAGUUUUGCUCUUGUUGCCCAGGCUGGAGUGCAGUGGCACGAUCUCAGCUCACCACAACCUCCACCUCCUGGGUUUAGUCAAUUCUACCUCAGCCUCCCGAGUAGCUGGAAUUACAGGCAUGUGCCACCACACCCAGCUAAUUUUGUAUUUUUAGUAGGGAUGGCGUUUCUCCAUGUUGGUCAGGCUGGUCUAGAACUCCUGACCUCAGGUGAUCAGCCUGCCUCAGCCUCCCAAAGGGCUGGGAUUACAGGCGUCAGCCACUGUACCCAGCAGUAUAUUCUUAAAUAUUACUGUUGAGCCAUAUAUACGACAAUGGUGGACUUUGAAUGUCUGCACAUCUGUAGUAAAAUGCAAUGCUACCUUCAUUUUUUGUUGGUAUGCUAAAGAAAUUUUAAGUAUCUCACUUUUAAAAAAAUUGGUUUAUGUAUUUUAUGUGCUUACACAUUUUUCCAUAGUACUGUAGAUCAUUUUAGUGAUGAAAUUUGAUACUUUUGACAGAAAAACAGGUCAAUGAGUUCCUUGGGAUCAAAAGGGUUGAUUACAAAAGGGCAGGAAGGAAUUGUUAGAGUGAUUCUACAGUUCUGCAUCUUGAUUAUGGUAUGACUAUGCGUUUGUCAAAUCUUAACAGGAUGAAUUUUGCUGAAUGUAAAAUCAUACUUCAAUAAACAUGACUUUAAAAACUUAA